ensembl:snoRNA
CAUCCUUAGCCUUACUCCAGGGGUUUUCUGCCCGUAGAGUGCCCUGCCCUGACAUUGCCUGAGGAGAGAGCGAGAGCACGUUCCCCUCCCCAGAAACAUGCUGUGUUCUGUGAGGCCUAUGAAUGAGUUGACAGU